CCCCGCGGCCGGUGCGGAGGCAGCCGGAGCCCGCCGGCCGCCGCGCCCCCUCAGCCCGGGCCAGGCCGGGCGGUGCGGGGAGGCGCGCGCGGAGGAGGCCCAGGCGCCACCCAGCGGCGGUGGGUGGCACCGCGCCCCAACCGCCCCCCGCGCGCCCGCCGCCGCGAGGCUGGCGGCGCGUUAUAUGCACGUACCCGAUCGCUGUACAUCUACGCGUGCCAGAGAGAAGAAAUUGCAAUAACCCCACGCUUCAACAUCGACCAUACCAGGCAUUGCGUGAGCACGCCUUUCACCGAAAAAGCCACUUUGGGCACUCAGAGCCACUUCCUUCUGAGAGAAGACAUCAUUGUGACUGGGAAAAGCACCUGUAAACUGCUGCAGGAUUAAAGGCAACUCCAUUCCCAGGAAAACUUACAGGAGACUGCUCCACAAACCGGCGCAGGCAGCAAUCCUAAAUGACCUCACAGGCUACACCUUGUUACCUUUUCCCAUCUAUUAUCCUACACAGCAUCUAAACUAAUGAAUCACUCAGGAACGAUUCCUUUGCACUGUUUUUAAAAACAUCUCUUCCUUAUUGGCACAAGGAUGUCCCAUUAUUUCUUAUACAGACAUCUCCAGGGAAAAGUUAAUCUAAAUGUUUGUAUGUACUAGACUUUCAUGUGGGUUACCAUAAAUAUUGUGAAAAGAGCUGUAGCCUCCCCCUGCCACUUCCUGUUAGGAUAAUAAGGAGCUUUAAUUGCUACUGUAAGAGGAAAGGUAUUUUCUCUACCAUCUUCAUCCUGAAUAUAAAGCAGAUGACAGAUGUGUAAGGUAGUAGAAACUGGGUUGCCAAAUAGGACAUCUGGGGACAUCUCUGCUGUUUGCAGGGGACAGAGGACUCAAUCUCACUUAUACCAUAGCAGAAAUUAUGAUUCCUAUUGAUUUCAGCAGAAGCAGGAUUUGGCCCUAAAGAACCCUUACCACACACUUCACGAGAGAACAGAUACACAGCAAUGACCGAGCAUGAGGAAUUGCACUGGAUGAAGGAUAAGCAGACCAGUAUUUGCUCACUGUAUCAAAGCUCUCAGUGUCUGAGAAGACAAGGCUGAAAGGAUUGCAGAUAAAAACAGUGCCAAAAGCAUUAGAUAAAAACUACAGCAGGGCAGAUAAUUUGCAAAAACAGUUACUUAAAACAAACUUAUGUCUUUACGUUGUUUAUAUUCCUUACUUUAUCAGUGAGAAAAGGCUAGAGAUAUUAGAAAAUAGUGCCUGAAGAACCAGUUCUUUCCUAAUUUUUUUGCUUCAACUUCCCACCUUCCCACUGCUCUAUACAUUAUGCUGCACUGCUGAACUGUGUAUCUCUAUCAUUUCUAUAGCCAGUUAAUUUUCUAGAAAACUCUGGCUGUUAUCAUGCUCUAAAAUACAUAUACAAGAAUAUUUUCUUACUUAUAAUUCCUUUUAAUUUGAUAAAACUAAUUUAAAGACAUACUUUUAAGUUGUCAUCUUAUUUGAAAAAAAAAGGGUAAAAGAAGUACUACUGACAAUAGCAAAGACUAACACAGCUGAAGUAAUUUGAAAAAAUUACUAUCCGCCAUUUCAUAUAAACAUAUGAUAGCAGUAACAGCAACAUUCUGCUUUCCAAGGUGCCAGAAAAGCUCCUGUGGCAGGUUAACUCUACCAGGAAGAAAAAUAACGAUAUGCAGAGCCAAGAUACUCUUUCCUAGCACAUCAUACACACAAUAGAUCUAUUUUCUAAGGCAGUCUUUAUUCUUAGUAACGGGUAUAUUUUCACUCACAUUAAAGAAAUCUUUUGUUUAUUUUUCUUUCUUACUGUUUUCUGUUUGGCUAAUGUCAGUAAACCGAGUCAGCUUCAUUAUUACGUGUAAAACAUUAUGCAGAAGCAGGUGAAUCAGAGAAGAAAACUGACUGAGGUUUUGGGCACACUACAAGACAAUGUAAAAAGAUCUAACUGAAAAUGCACCUUUUUUUUUUUCUUUGGCUUUUGUAUUUGUAAAAUUAAUCAUUUCUGCAGUGAUUCUCUGAAAAAUUAAGGUCUCCUCUAUUUUGAUGAAUAAAGUAUGUUGGCAAUAAUACUUCAACCUAACCCGCUAGAUUGCUGCUAAACAACCACUCAUUUAAUUUUCUCUUCCCCCAAAAUACUGGUUUUCUAUCUAAGUCUUCAUAAUUUUCAUUAUUAUUACUGCUGCUGUAAUUUUUGUUAUUAUGUAUUGAUUUUAUAAUGCACAUUAACCCACUAACUUGCCUUCAGAAAACAUAUUUGUCUGAGUAUGUGACCAAUAAAACUAAAGAUGUGUACGGGCAAAGAGGAUGUGCCACCACAAGGAA